rnacentral:rRNA from 1 species
CUCCUGGAAACGGGUGGUAAUGCCGGAUGUUCCACAUGAGCGCAUGCGAGUGUGGGAAAGGCUUUUUGCGGCAUGGGAUGGGGUCGCGUCCUAUCAGCUUGUUGGUGGGGUAACGGCCUACCAAGGCGUUGACGGGUAGCCGGCCUGAGAGGGCGACCGGCCACAUUGGGACUGAGAUACGGCCCAGACUCCUACGGGAGGCAGCAGUGGGGAAUAUUGCACAAUGGGCGCAAGCCUGAUGCAGCGACGCCGCGUGCGGGAUGGAGGCCUUCGGGUUGUAAACCGCUUUUGUUCAAGGGCAAGGCACGGUUUCGGCCGUGUUGAGUGGAUUGUUCGAAUAAGCACCGGCUAACUACGUGCCAGCAGCCGCGGUAAUACGUAGGGUGCAAGCGUUAUCCGGAUUUAUUGGGCGUAAAGGGCUCGUACGCGGUUCGUCGCGUCCGGUGUGAAAGUCCAUCGCUUAACGGUGGAUCCGCGCCGGGUACGGGCGGCCUUGAGUGCCGUACGGGAGACUGGAAUUCCCGGUGUAACGGUGGAAUGUGUACCAUAUCGGGAAGAACACC